AGAGUUGUGGCUCAGUGGUAGAGUGCUUGCCUAGCAUGUGUGAGGCCCUGGGUUCAAUCCUCAGCACCACCC
rnacentral:tRNA from 1 species